rnacentral:piRNA from 1 species
UAGGAAUAUAGCAGCAAGAAGAAGGACAGU